AAAAAAGUCACGAGUCAUUCCUGCGCGAGCCACUUCUGUCUCUUGCCUCCGCUCGAGCUCUGUUCCCUCCGUGGCACAAGAACCAUCAUGCAAGCAAAAAGCCAAAGUUGUUAUUGGGUAUGCCCAGAGGGCCGAACUGACCGAACGUCAUGAGUCAGGCUGACUUGAAGAUGAAUUUGUGCCCAGUGGAAGUCCUGACUUGAAAGCACUGCCUGCAUGUGUGUGUCACCAGAUGAUCAGAGCUUAAUGCUCCCGGUUGG